AGAUGAUGCAGCAGUGCUGCUGACGAUGACGGGGACAACAACAGCUACUAUUUAUUGAAUAAUUAGCAAGUUCUUUACUAUCUUUUUCAUGGAAUUUUAACAAUCUAUUUAUUACAGUAAAUGACAUUACAGAUAAAUUAAGGGAACACUCGGUAAAGGAAAAAAUGGAUCCAUGCUAUCAACACUCUGGGCUGAACUGGUUUUCAAUUACUCGAGGUUCUUUUCUCUUCCUCAAAUUGGGAAUUGCCAUUUUGGGGUAGCUGAGAUCACAGUCAUGUAUAAGACACGGAAGAUGUGGACACAGAGACAGAGACGCAGAGGGAAGACAACAUGAAGACACACAAGGAGACAGCCCUGUGGCUGGAGCGAUGUCCCUGUGAACCAAGGAAGGCCCAAGAUUGCUGGCAAGACCAGAGGAGGGAAGAAAGGAUUCUCCCCUCGGGCUGUUGUAGAGAAAACAGCCCUGUGGACAAGUUCAUCUUCUAGUCCCCGCAGCUGUAAGAGAAAGAAUUUCUGGUGUUUUCAGCCACUCAGCUGUGGGUGCUUUGUUUGGGCAGCCAAGGAGAGACUGCUGGCUGGAGUUUUCAGAUAAGAUUUCACUUGAAGAAAAUACCCCAAGAAAGCCUAAAAAGUGACUGAAAACCACUGGUGUUGAGGCCAAGCAAGAACAAGGAAAUUCACCCAGGAAGCAAGUGAACUCUCUCACCAGCUGCACCACCAGCACCCAUCCGAUCAGAACACUCCCGAAGGAGGGGAAGGAGUACUGGUUUCCAGAGAGGAUGGACGUUUAAAGAGGGUGCCUGACAGCAGCUGAAGUGUUUGCAGCCAACCUGUGGGAACCUGUUAGGGAUGGAGCCAGAAGAAUGAAGAUUUGGACCACACUCUCUUCCUGCCCUUUUAUCCCUUCAGGGGCUCCCAAAGGCCAAACCCAACCAGAAGUCAGAGGUCAAAGGAAUCUAUUGAUAU